CCGGGUUGCGGACAGUGUCUGGUGGGUAGUUUGACUGGGGCGGUCUCCUCCUAAAGAGUAACGGAGGAGCACGAAGGUUGGCUAAUCCUGGUCGGACAUCAGGAGGUUAGUGCAAUGGCAUAAGCCAGCUUGACUGCGAGCGUGACGGCGCGAGCAGGUGCGAAAGCAGGUCAUAGUGAUCCGGUGGUUCUGAAUGGAAGGGCCAUCGCUCAACGGAUAAAAGGUACUCCGGGGAUAACAGGCUGAUACCGCCCAAGAGUUCAUAUCGACGGCGGUGUUUGGCACCUCGAUGUCGGCUCAUCACAUCCUGGGGCUGAAGUAGGUCCCAAGGGUAUGGCUGUUCGCCAUUUAAAGUGGUACGCGAGCUGGGUUUAGAACGUCGUGAGACAGUUCGGUCCCUAUCUGCCGUGGGCGCUGGAGAACUGAGGGGGGCUGCUCCUAGUACGAGAGGACCGGAGU
rnacentral:rRNA from 1 species